rnacentral:ncRNA from 2 species
UUCAAUAUCCAGCAAAAUAGCCGAAAGGUUAUGACGCAAAGCUAAAGGGCCUUUUACAUGGCAGCCAGUUGCAUAA